ensembl:snRNA U4 U4 spliceosomal RNA
AGCUUUAUGCAGUGGCAGUAUCAUAGCCAAUGAGGUCCGGCCGAGGCGUGAUUAUUGCUAAUUGUGAUGAAGCUGAAUGAAAACGGAGGAGCUGUGUUCCUAUUAGGGAAGAGCUGCCGGCUUAUUUUUUGUCAGGGGCUUCGCACAUGCUC